UGAAGCAGGAAGAUGUUAUAUGGGGUUCAUCAGCUUGCUGUUAGCUCCUGUUCCAUGCCAGCAGGCUGCUCAUGUCAUCUUGGCUCAGUCCAGUGGGCAGGACCUUCCUUCCCCAUGCUUCCCACCCACUGACCUAAAAGUGUCCCUGUGGAGGGCCCUAUCCUUAAGAACCUGACAGAUCAUCAGCCCUGCCCUGAACCGGUUCCAGGAUCUGCAUCCUGGGAUCACAUGCCAGUGCUGAGAGGCUCCAGUGAUCCUGCCCUGCAGGAAGCGUCCCUGCAGCUGACCCAGCUGAGCACCAGCCCCACGGCUCUGCAGGGAAGCUGGUGACAUGAUUAAUAAUGCAGAGCAGCCUUUUGUCAAGUGCCACUCUGGCUCUCCAGGAAGAGAAGUGCUGCAUUCCAGGGCAUCAAUAAUUCAGCCAAAGGUUGGGUUUCCUCUGGGAGGCUUGGCUGGCCAGCAGGAAUGCUGGAUGCAUUAUCUAGGCCCAUGGGGGCAAGCAGGCUGAGCAGCACUUGGGUGACAGCCCCAAGAGAAACAAGACUGUGCUGGGCUGCAGUUAGGGCAGCUGCCUGCAUUCACACCUCCCCUUUUCCUAAGAGAGCUGGUAGAGACACUAGUGGCACAUCAGGAGGGUCAGCAAGUAGAGUUGAGCAGGAUGGGUCCCUCUGUAGCUACAGCAUCAAAAAGGCUCUGCCUAUAGCCCUAGUGACUUAAAGCCAUCAAGGUCAGGCUGUAGAACAGCACAUGAAUUGUUUUCUUUGCUAAAAGCCCCAUAAAAGUGAGUGCACUAAAACCCCAGUGCUCCCACUGAGCUAUGCCAACACCACAGCUGCUUUGCACAAUGCAGCACAAAUCGACUUGUAUCUCUUCUAAGCUUGUGUGAUUUUUGCAUCCCUGUCCCCUCCAGCUGGCCCAGGCUGUAUGUGACCUCUGCCAGGGUAGCUGCAGCCCCCUUGCAGAGAAUCUGGUGGCAGAGUUCAGGCCCUUGUACCACUUGCAGGGUCCUUAGUAAUGUUCCAGGUGGACAUCACUUACGAUUUUCCACCUUACAUCACAAAGAUCAAACCAGGACCAGGAGUCUUAAACCAGGAAGAGUUUCCUUCAUCUGCCACUAGACCUGGGCUGUUGGAUUUUCUGAAGCCCCCAAACAGUUCAAAAUGCUCAGGCUAUGGUAACAUUUGUUCUUUGGGUGAUCAGAGGCAUGA